UACCUUUUGUAUAAUGGGUCAGCGACUUAUAUUCUGUAGCAAGGUUAACCGAAUAGGGGAGCCGAAGGGAAACCGAGUCUUAACUGGGCGUUAAGUUGCAGGGUAUAGACCCGAAACCCGGUGAUCUAGCCAUGGGCAGGUUGAAGGUUGGGUAACACUAACUGGAGGACCGAACCGACUAAUGUUGAAAAAUUAGCGGAUGACUUGUGGCUGGGGGUGAAAGGCCAAUCAAACCGGGAGAUAGCUGGUUCUCCCCGAAAGCUAUUUAGGUAGCGCCUCGUGAAUUCAUCUCCGGGGGUAGAGCACUGUUUCGGCAAGGGGGUCAUCCCGACUUACCAACCCGAUGCAAACUGCGAAUACCGGAGAAUGUUAUCACGGGAGACACACGGCGGGUGCUAACGUCCGUCGUGAAGAGGGAAACAACCCAGACCGCCAGCUAAGGUCCCAAAGUCAUGGUUAAGUGGGAAACGAUGUGGGAAGGCCCAGACAGCCAGGAUGUUGGCUUAGAAGCAGCCAUCAUUUAAAGAAAGCGUAAUAGCUCACUGGUCGAGUCGGCCUGCGCGGAAGAUGUAACGGGGCUAAACCAU
rnacentral:rRNA from 1 species